AUGUUUGACUCUCACGUAACGAGCGCAUCUCUGCCGCUCAGUUACUCGGUAACGGAGAUGUUACGUCUACGGAUCUUCUCAAGGACCCAACCACCUCAGCUUGCAUCCCACCAGGACAUUCUCAAACGACCAAAAUACAUCCACCGAGGCUCUGGACGGAAUUUUCAGUACACUCACACCAGCAACAAAAACAUCCGCUCCUUCUGGUCCACUGGGCCCCGCCCCCUUCCUCGCACAGCCCGUACGGUCAGUCCCGUCAAUCACAGUGUCCUGUCCCCUCUGCUCAAAGCAACCUGCUACACUCCACUCACCUGUCUGAAACUCUGUCUGCUGAACACCAGAUCCCUCAGUAAUAAGGCCCUUUUGAUAAAUGACUUUAUUGUUGACCAGAGCCUAGACAUUCUCUGCCUCACUGAGACCUGGCAACAACCAAAUGACUUCUCCCAUCUAAAUGAAGCUGUCCCACCAGGUUUUUCUUUUAUUAGCAAACCCCGGGUUAAUGGGAGGGGGGGUGGCCUCGCUCUCCUCCAUCGUGAUAACAUCAAAGUCACCACUGUCACAGUCCCCCUUCACUCCUCCUUUGAAUGUCUAGCUGUAAAACUCUCCGGCCCCAAACCCACUAUCAUUGUCACCAUUUACAGACCACCAAAACCCUCCGCCGUUUUCCUCAAUGAAUUCUCAUCACUACUUACAUCUGUAUGUGCAAUGUCCCCCACUGUUAUCCUCCUUGGUGAUUUCAACAUCCACAUUGACAACCCAUCCUGUACUUUUGCUAAUGACUUCACAUCACUUCUGGACUGUCUUGGCAUCACACAACAUGUCUACCUCCCAACCCAUAACAAAGGUCACAUUCUGGAUUUAAUCUGCUGCACUGACAUCACUCCCACUAACCUUGAUGUCAUUGAUUUCCCCAUCUCCGACCACAAAGCUGUACUUUUUGACAUUCAUACCCAACUACACAAAACCAAGGAACAACGGACCAUCUCCUUCAGAAACAUCAAACUUAUCAACACCACAGACCUCUCCACCAUGAUCAGCUCCUACCCCAACCCUCCCCCAGCUUCCUCCCUGACUGACCUGGUGACUCACUACAAUAACUGCCUCUCCUCCUCCCUCACCACCCUGGCCCCCCUGAAAACCCGCUCAGUCUCAUUCACCCACACUGCUCCCUGGUUCACUCCUCAUCUGCGCCAGCUCAAAGCCACUGGUCGUCGACUGGAGCGACUCUACAAUAAGACUCAACUCACUGUACACCGCCAAAUGUAUUCGGACCACCUCCAUCACUACAAGAAUGCCCUCACCACUGCCAAAACCUCAUACUACUCCAACCUCAUCAACACUGGUACAGGCAACAGCAGAGUCCUCUUCUCAACAGUCAACCACUUACUUCAGCCUCCUAAAUCUCUCCCUCCAGAUAUUUCCACCACCCAAUGCACUGCCUUCCUUGACUUCUUCAGCUCUAAAAUCAACACCAUUCACCAACAACUGGCCUCAUCUCGCACCCCCUCUGAUGACCCACCCUGGAUGAUCACCUCUGGCCAACCUCUCAUCAGCUCCCUCUCUGACUUCACCCUAGUAACAGAACAGACCGUCUCAGAACUCAUCCGCAAAGCCAAAACCACCACCUGUCAGCUCGAUCCUCUUCCCACCUCCCUUGUCAAAGCAUGUCUUCCGUCCAUCUCCCCCAUGAUCACCAACAUAAUUAACUCCUCCCUCACUACUGGUACUGUACCCCUCACUCUCAAGCUGGCUGCCAUCACUCCCAUCCUGAAAAAACCUGGUGCUGACCCAUCUGACCUUAACCAUUACCGGCCCAUCUCCAAUCUCCCUUUCAUCUCCAAAACACUUGAAAGGGUGGUUGCCGCACAACUACAGUCCCACCUCGACAUUAACAAUCUCCACGAACCGUUCCAAUCUGGCUUCCGUCCAAAACACAGCACUGAAACAGCCCUAGUCAAAAUCACCAACGACCUCCUCCUUGCAGCGGCUCUGGAUUACUCACCAUUCUCAUCCUCCUCGAUCUCAGCGCAGCAUUCGACACCAUCUCCCACCCUCUGCUCCUGGACCGCCUAG
rnacentral:lncRNA from 1 species